GCUGCAUAACAUUCUCUUAUCAUGCAUACCUUCAUGAAACAGCUCUGUCAUGUGUCACGUCUUCAGAAUUCAGUCAUGCUUCAGUUAUACAUGUUCAAUAUGAUAACUCAGUUUAUCAAUAGUUUUAGUCAUACAAUCAUGCUUCAGUUGUGCAUGUUCAAUAUGUAAACUCAGUCUAUCCGUAUUCCCAGCUUAGUUAGUCUCAUUCGAGGAUGAAUCUUUCCAAAGAGGAGAUAUUAUAAGACCCCGUAAAAGUCCAAGUCUAAUUUAGUCCUACAUAGCAUGAAAAAAGGUCCUAGACUUAAAAUAUUUUAGCUAAGUAUUGACACUUAGUCUCAUAUUUGGCCUCGAUAUUUCAAUGACUUUGUUUUUGACCCUUACAACCUCAAAAUGUCGAUUCUUAGAUUGAUUCUUGAUCAGGGAUGUUAAUGGAUGUUCUCGGACGAGUUUUAGAAUUUUUAAACGUCGUUUGAGGCACGUUUGGGUGUCCAAAAUAGUGGAUCAAUAUGAUCUCGAUACAUCGCAUCAUCUAUCACGUCAAUAGUGUUUUCAUUAGCUCAAGCGGGCAAAUUCUAAUGAGCUGACAUGAUCUCGACGCAUUGCAUCAGCCAUCGCAUCGACCCCAUCGCGCAGCAUAGU
rnacentral:lncRNA from 1 species